AACGAACGCUGGCGGCAGGCCUAACACAUGCAAGUCGAGCGCCCCGCAAGGGGCGCGGCGGACGGGUGAGUAACGCGUGGGAAUAUGCCCUUUGCUACGGAAUAGUCUCGGGAAACUGGGGGUAAUACCGUAUACGCCCUUUGGGGGAAAGAUUUAUCGGCUAAGGAUUAGCCCGCGUUGGAUUAGGUAGUUGGUGGGGUAAUGGCCUACCAAGCCGACGAUCCAUAGCUGGUUUGAGAGGAUGAUCAGCCACACUGGGACUGAGACACGGCCCAGACUCCUACGGGAGGCAGCAGUGGGGAAUCUUAGAAAAUGGGGGCAACCCUGAUCUAGCCAUGCCGCGUGAGUGAUGAAGGCCUUAGGGUUGUAAAGCUCUUUCAGCUGGGAAGAUAAUGACGGUACCAGCAGAAGAAGCCCCGGCUAACUACGUG
rnacentral:rRNA from 1 species